rnacentral:misc_RNA from 1 species
GACGAACCGUACGAACGUUAUUCGGAAUUACUGGGCUUAAAGGGUGCGUAGGCGGCGCGGUAAGUUGGAUGUGAAAGCCCUCAGCUCAACUGAGGAACUGCAUUCAAAACUACCGUGCUCGAGGGAGACAGAGGUAAGCGGAACUCAAGGUGGAGCGGUGAAAUGCGUUGAUAUCUUGAGGAACACCGGUGGCGAAGGCGGCUUACUGGGUCUUUUCUGACGCUGAGGCACGAAAGCUAAGGUAGCAAACAGG